UCAAACUUCUCGAUCCUUCCUCUGAAAAUUCUAUCUGUCAUCUAGAUUGAGAGAGGAUCAAGUGCGCGACUUGGCAAUAGCUAAAAGGAAUUGCAAGGUUAUUUUGUUAUCUUCCUCUUCUGUUGUUCGGUUCCUUCAACCUCCUCUUCUUCCUGGAGCUCGAACCAACUCUAUUCUAAUCUCCUUUGCUCAUCACCAAUUUAUCUGUUAAAUACUUGAACGGGAAAUUGAGGAUGGGGUCUAAGGCUUUUUGGUUCUCGCUUGCGAACCUGUGACCUUUUUGCAAGAAGAGAGCUUUUUAUGUAUACAUUGAAGGUAUUGAGUAUAAGUACUUGCAUGGGUAUAAAUUGGUAUUGUCAUGUUAGACGGUGAUUGGCACUUGAUCAUUAUUUAUUGCUUUUACUGGUGCCUACAUUGCCGUUGUCUUUUGUCAAAGACUGCAGAGAAGACUCAUUAUGCAUUAUGAAUGCAUCACAUUUUAUCGUUAUCUUUUGUCAAAGACUGCAGAGAAGGUUCAUUAUAGCAUUAUGAAUGCAUCACAUUUUAUCUGUAUCAAUGUAAAGAAUGUGUCUUCUUGCAACUAUGCAACAUCUGAGAAUGGAUAUUUUGUUUCUAUAUGGAUGUUGAUCAGUUAGUAUUAUUAUUUGAUUUGAUAGUUA